rnacentral:tRNA from 1 species
AUCAGAGUGGCACAGUGGGAGCGUGCUGGGCCCAUAACCCAGAGAUCCGUGGAUCGAAACUACGCUCUGCAAAUA